rnacentral:lncRNA from 1 species
CCAAGUUGGAGGGGAAAACCACCUUCAACUUGCGCAAAAGAUCAUGAUGAACAGUGCCAGGCAACGGUAUGGUGAGAACAUCAGCUAACUGUUGAGAAGUGGAAACAUGAGAUAGAGAAAUCAGCCCAUCAGAAAGUUUGGUCCGGACAAAAUGACAAUCAACUUCAAUGUGCUUGGUCCACUCAUGAAAAACUGGAUUCCUGGCUACAUGUAAAGUAGCCUGGUUAUCACAAAAGACAGAGAAAGGAUAAAAUGACAAUCAACCUCAAUGUGCUUGGUCCGCUCAUGAAAACCUGGAUUCCUGGCUAUAUGUAAAGCAACCUGGUUAUCACAAAAGACAGAGAAAGGAAGAGACACAGAAACACCAAGGUCAGUAAGCAAUCUGGAAAACCAAGACAAUUCAGCAACCACCUUGCUAAGCGCCCUGUACUCUGCCUCAGCAGAAGAUAAAGAUAUCACUGGUUGUUUUUUGGACUUCCAACUAACCAAGCUGCCCCCUAAUAUCACACAGAAACCAGUGACAGAUCUGCGAGUAUCAGGGCAAGCUGCCCAGUCACUGUCUAAGAACAUGUAGGGCAGCAGACAUGUGAGGUAAUCUAGGAGACUUCAAGAACUGGCUCAAAUGCUGUACAUCAAAGGAAAUGUCAGGCCUUGUAUGUGUCACAAAUAGAAGUUUCCAAAAUGAGGCUUCUAUACUUGUCAGGAGAAUGUACAACAAAGCAAAUAUCAGGUCGGGUAUGUGUCAAAAACAAAAGCUUCCCAAUGAGGCUUCUAUACUUGUCAGGAGAAGGGAAAAGAUCACCAGAGUCAGCAUGCAAUUUAGUAUUAAGGUCUAAAGGACAAGUGACAGAAGAAACUGCAGAGCAGUCAAAUUGCUGCAACAAGUCAGAGACAAACUUCUUUUGAUUAAGAAGUACCCCCCACCAGGAAUAGAAGACACCUCAAUUCCCAGAAAAUAAUGUAAAGACCCCAGGUCUUUGAUUUUAAACUGAUCAUCCAAGAAAUGUUUUAGGGCAGUAGUUUCAGUGGUAUCAUCUCCAGUGAUAAUGAUAUCAUCCACAUACACUGCCAGCAACACAAGACAGCUAGGAUGGCCUUUGAUAAACAGAGAGUAAUCAUUCAGAGAGUGGACAUAACCUCAGGAAUAUAAAGAUUGAGACAAUUUGGCAUACCAUUGUCUUGAAGCCUGCCUUAACCCAUAGAGGGACUUCUUCAAUUUGCACACAAAGAGAGUGGAAACAGAAGAAACAGUAGGAGCAGAAAUGUGCAAACCUGGAGGUAGCUUCAUAUACACUUCCUCAUCUAGGUCACCAUGCAAGAAGGCAUUGUUGACAUCAAGUUGAAAAAGAUCUCAAUGUUUC